UACGAAGGACCCAAGCGUUAUCCGGAUUUAUUGGGCUUAAAGGGUGCGUAGGCGGUUUGUUAAGUCAGUGGUGAAAGCUCCGAGCCCAACUCGGAAAUUGCCAUUGAUACUGAUGAUCUUGAGUACAUUUGAGGUGGGCGGAAUGUGUCAUGUAGCGGUGAAAUGCUUAGAGAUGACACAGAACACCGAUUGCGAAGGCAGCCCACUAAACUGUAACUGACGCUGAGGCACGAAAGCGUGGGGAGCAAACAGG
rnacentral:rRNA from 1 species